rnacentral:lncRNA from 1 species
UACCCAUCUAAGGUUGUUGGGAAUACUGAGCCGAUACUUGUAAAGUGUUCAAAAUGCCAGUGCUGUUUAUUGGUUCAGAGCUGGAGAAAACAAGAGUAGACCCAGAUGGAGGGACACAUCCAGGUUUUCCUUUCUCAUUUCGGCUUCUACUUCAGACAGGCUUUUUCCAUUGCCAAAGGCCACUUCAGUCUGAUGUCAUGUCAGUUUAAUGGUAUCAGAGGAAAAGAGAGCAGUGUUUCCCUGUUUCGGUGGAGCACUGCACUUAUAAAUCCUGAAGAAUGGCUCUGCCUUGGCUGAGCUUGGCCAUGAUCACCCGUAGUUUCUCGAGGUGCCAUGAUUGAGAUCGGAGCCACCUGCCUGGAGGAAGGACAGGCUGUUUUCCACAGGGGCGGGAUGUUCUUACCAGAAGGACAGAAGGCAGUUGAGUGACCAGGAUGACAGAUGCUGCCAUGCAAGGGUUGUGGGUGCACCUGGGUUGGCACCGUGUCUGAUCCAGGAGGAUUACAGGAUGAGCUUAUCAUGGAACAUAAGAAAAAUAAAACAGAUGUCAGCCUGUGUAUGAAGAAUUCAUCCACAAGAUUUGCUCACUCUUCAAU